UUUUAUGUAUGUUACAUCAGAACUUUUGCCCGUGUGGACCGAUUUCGACAAAUUUUGUUUUAAUCGAAAGGUGGUGUAUGCCAAUUGGUCCCAUUUAAAUUUAUUUGAGAUCUAACAACUACUUUUCGAGCUAUAUCUAAUAAUGCGUUUUUACGUUGUAUUAUACCACAUAACUUGCUACUGGAUGUACCGAUUUUGAUAAUUCUUUUUUUGUUGGAAAGGAGAUAUCCCAAGUUUAGUACCAUGAUAAGGAAACCAGGAUCUGAUGAUG
rnacentral:misc_RNA from 1 species